UUCUCAGUGAACAGCUCACACAAGUAUAGAUGUUCCCUACAAACAAGAGAAUAGUAAGAACAGCAAAAGAAUAUAAUGCAAUAAUUUGAAAAUACAUUUUAGUAACUAACAUACCAUUAAUAUCAUCAAAUAUUGUUAGUUCUGCCCAGUCAAAUGGCUACAAUCAUUUCAAGUAAACCUUGAAGUCACAUUUCAACAUUUCCUUGUGUCUCUGCACUAUGUUGUCUUUAUGUUUACCUCUAUUUUUCUCUACUUGCUUCAAUUAUUUGUUAUAAAAAUACAGAAAAAGUACAUUAAUUCUUCAUAGUGUUGUAGUUUAAUAGGUAGUAAAGAAUAUGUUCUGGUGUCACUGGUUAUCCCCAGAGUACUUCACAAUUAGUCUGAAAUUUUAGCUAAAUUUCGUAAAAUUCAGAUAAUUUCCAACUAUUUGAUAGAUGCUCUGCUGUGCUCACAAAGGACAUUGUCUUUGUUUAUAGCUUAAAUAUUUAUUUGGUGAAAAACUUUCCUAUCUCACAAAGUUAUUUAUCCUUCAGAAAAGAGAAUCCUUUUAUCUGUCCUUAGCAUGUCUGAACCCAUUUAAUGACAACUUGGUUUCCAUCUAUGAGUAUUACAACAUAUCUCUUUUCUAAAUAGGAUAUAUGUGUAACUUUACUUCUUGAAUGCCAUUUUCAUGCCUUGACUUCCUUGAAUUCUGUAUAAUUAAGUAUAUUUUUCCAUAUUUUUAACACCCUUAUUGCCUGUACUAUGAAAAAAGUACAUGAUACUUACACUCACAAAAAUAUGUGUAGCAAUUUUGAUUAUUGAUUCAACCUGGUAUUCCUGGAUGGAGACAAAGUUAGAGAGAGAAUGUAAGGAUAAACAUUAAAGAAUGAAUUAUUUUAAACUAAUUGCUUUGUCCCUCCUUGGAUUUCAAGAUGUAUUUAGAGGAGUGAAAUGAGGAUUUCAUCUACCAGACAUCAUCCACACAUCUCCCAGAAGGCAACAAGUGGGAAAAAAAGGGCACACUAAUGCUUUGUCUAUGACUUCCAUUCUACCAUGAGAUUAAAAUGUCACCACCAACUAAAAAAAGAAUGAGGAGAAGCCAGUAGGAGCCAAUACUUACAAUAAUUUGAACCAGCUUGAACUGUUGCCCCCCAGUCAGGCCACCUGCCUUGGAACCAGCUGAUUAUGGACUGAAACAAACUACACAGUCUAAAAACGCAAUGAUCACCACUUAAAAUGUGAUAAUGAUACAGGAAAAGUAUAACACCAAACCUGCUCAUGUUCAGAUGUGCCAAGUUUGAAAAUGAAUUCCAGAAGACAAAGCAGAAUAAUAAAUCUGAGUUUGCAUAAGACUUCAACAAUGCUACUCACAAGAAUGAUGUCUUGAACAGAGAUUUGGACUAGACACAGAGAAAAGGCAGCAAGAAUGUAGACUUGUUGAAAACAGAAAGCAGAAAACAAAAUUCAAUUUAUAAGAGUACACUGGUGAAGAAGGCUCACAGUGGCCCAAAGGAUAAAGAGAAAGGCUCAAUUAUUAUCAAAAUGCCUUGGAAAACUCCUAUCCCAUGUAAAUAAGAAAUUGGGACAAUUGCCCUAUAAAAACUCUCUAGACCUCAUUCUCCCAAAGUUGUUAUACAGAUUUAAUCCAAUGCCAAUCAUAAUACCACUUGCCUACCUUACAGAUCUAGAGAAAUCAUCCCUAAAAUUUAUCUGGAACCUGAAGAGAUCUAGAAUAGCAAAGGCAGUUCUGAGUAACAAAGGUAAGGCAGAAUUGAUCACAAUCUCCCACUUGAAUGUAUAUUAUAAAGCUACUGUGAUAAAAUCAGCAUUGUACUUGAAUAAAAACAGACCUGGAGAUCAAUGAAAUAGAUUCAAAGAUAUAGCCACAACUAGCAAAACAUUCAACCACCUCAUCUUUGACAAAGGGGCCAAACAUGUACACUGAAAGACAGUCUCUUUAAUAAGUGGUGCUAGAAAAACUGACUCUCUGUAUGCCAAAAACUAAAACCAGAUCCAUGUCUAUCACCAUGCACUAAAUGAAAGUCAAAAGAAAUCAAAGAUCUAAAUAUUGGAACAGAAACACUAAAUCAUUUUGAAGACACAGUGGGUAGAAAUCUGUAUGACAUAGGAGUAUGCAAAGAGUUCAUGAACAAAAAUCAAACUGCAUGAGAAGUACUUGCAGGAAUCAACAACUGAGAUUUCACCUAAUUAAAAAGUUUUUGCAUGUCAAAGAAAAUCUCCAACAGAAUGAAAGGAAAACCCUACAAAUUGGGAAAAUAUCUUAGCCAACUGCACCUCAGACAAAGGAAUACUAUCUAGAAUAUAUAAAGAAUUUUAAAAAUCAGGCCCCCCACAUUCAAAGACCCCAACCCAAAAAUGGGUAUUUGAGAUGACUAUACACAUCUCAGCUGAAAAAAUACAAAUGGCAAGUAAAUACAUGAAAAAAAGUUCAACAUCAAUGUCAUUCAGGAAAUGCAAAUGAGAACAACACUGAGAUUCCAUCUCACCCCAGAAAGAAUGGCCAAGAUCAAGAAACCAACCAAUUACAAAUGUGGGAGGCACUGUGAGGAAAAAGGAACCCUUCUCCACUGUUGGUGGGAGUGUAAGCUGGUUCAAUCAUUGUGGAAAUCAGUGGAGAGACUCCUUAUGAAGCUAGAAUUGGAGAUUUCAUUUGAGCCAGCUAUCCUGCUUCUGGGCAUUUUCCCAGAAGAACUGAAAACAUCAUACCACAGUGAUAUAUGUCUACCUAUGUUUUUAGCAGCACAAUUUGUAAUAGCCAAAUCUUGGAAACAACCUAAGUGGCCAUCAAGCAAGGAAUGAAUAAAAAAGACGUGUAUUUUUAUACAAUGGAAUACUCUUUAGCUAUGAAAAAUCACAUUGAGACUUUUAUAAGUAAGACGAUGUAAUGAGACCUUACUAAUAAAUAAAAUACAUCAAACUCA